AAGUCGUAACAAGGUUUCCGUAGGUGAACCUGCGGAAGGAUCAUUCAUAAUAAGUGUUUUAUGGCACUUUUUAAAUCCAUAUCCACCUUGUGUGCAAUGUCAGUCGAUCUUCUUCAUGGAGAUCGACCAAACAUCAACCUUUAUUUUUUAACUCUUUGUCUGAAAAAUAUUAUGAAUAAACAAUUCAAAAUACAACUUUCAACAACGGAUCUCUUGGCUCUCGCAUCGAUGAAGAACGCAGCGAAAUGCGAUACGUAAUGUGAAUUGCAGAAUUCAGUGAAUCAUCGGAUCUUUGAACGCAUAUUGCGCUCUUUGGUAUUCCGAAGAGCAUGCUUGUUUGAGUAUCAGUAAACACCUCAAAGCUUUUGGAUUUUUUAAUCGAAAAGCUUUGGACUUGAGCAAUCCCAACACCAAUCUUUUUGAGAUCGGUGGCGGGUUGCUUGAAAUGCAGGUGCAGCUGGACAUUCUCCUGAGCCAAAAGCAUAUUCAUUUAGUCCCGUCAAACGGAUUAUUACUUUUGCUGCAGCUAACAUAAAGGGAGUUUGACCGUAUUGGCUGACUGAUGCAGGAUUUCACAAGGGUCGGCAACGAUUCUUGUUAAACUCGAUCUCAAAUCAAGUAAGACUACCCGCUGAACUUAAGCAUAUCAAUAAGCGGAGGAAAAGAAACUAACAAGGAUUCCCCUAGUAACGGCGAGUGAAGCGGGAUGAGCUCAAAUUUAAAAUCUGGCUGGUUUACUAGUCCGAAUUGUAGUUUAUAGAAGCGUUUUCGGUGGCAGCCUGGGUAUAAAUCCUUUGGAAUAGGGUAUCAUAGAGGGUGAGAAUCCCGUCUUUGACUCAGUGCAUGCUACUAUGUGAUACGUUUUCAAA
rnacentral:sRNA from 1 species